UACGUAGGGUGCAAGCGUUAUCCGGAAUUAUUGGGCGUAAAGAGCUCGUAGGCGGUUUGUCGCGUCUGCUGUGAAAACUGGAGGCUCAACCUCCAGCCUGCAGUGGGUACGGGCAGACUAGAGUGCGGUAGGGGAGAUUGGAAUUCCUGGUGUAGCGGUGGAAUGCGCAGAUAUCGAGGAGGAACACCGGUGGCGAAGGCGGGUCUCUGGGCAGUAACUGACGCUGAGGAGCGAAAGCGUGGGGAGCGAACAGG
rnacentral:rRNA from 1 species